AGUGUGUGAUCACAGUGACACACCGCUCAGGUAGUCCUGAGUGUGCGAUCACAGUGACACAGCCGCUCAGGUACUCCUGAGUGUGCGAUCACAGUGACACAGCCGCUCAGGUACUCCUGAGUGUGUGAUCACAGUGACACAGCCGCUCAGGUAGUCCUGAGUGUGCGAUCACAGUGACACACCGCUCAGGUAGUCCUGAGUGUGUGAUCACAGUGACACAGCCGCUCAGGUAGUCCUGAGUGUGUGAUCACAGUGACACAGCCGCUCAGGUAGUCCUGAGUGUGCGAUCACAGUGACACACCGCUCAGGUACUCCUGAGUGUGCGAUCACAGUGACACAGCCGCUCAGGUACUCCUGAGUGUGUGAUCACGGUGACACAGCCGCUCAGGUAGUCCUGAGUGUGUGAUCACAGUGACACAGCCGCUCAGGUAGUCCUGAGUGUGCGAUCACAGUGACACAGCCGUUCAGGUAGUCCUGAGUGUGCGAUCACAGUGACACAGCCGCUCAGGUACUCCUGAGUGUGCGAUCACAGUGACACAGCCGCUCAGGUACUCCUGAGUGUGCGAUCACAGUGACACGCCGCUCAGGUAGUCCUGAGUGUGCGAUCACAGUGACACAGCCGCUCAGGUAGUCCUGAGUGUGCGAUCACAGUGACACACCGCUCAGGUACUCCUGAGUGUGCGAUCACAGUGACACACCGCUCAGGUAGUCCUGAGUGUGUGAUCACAGUGACACGCCGCUCAGGUAGUCCUGAGUGUGCGAUCACAGUGACACGCCGCUCAGGUAGUCCUGAGUGUGCGAUCUUCUGAGAAGCAUUCAACCUCUAUCUUACACCCCCGCGCUUUCACCCAUUGGUCCCCCAUGUCCUGUUUUAAUAGUUUUGGCAAGUUUUUUUGAGAUUGAGAGAAAGAAAGGUGUGUCUUGUAUGUGGAAGUAGAGGGGAGAAAGGGGCUCUGUUACUGUCCCUGUUUGUGUGUUUAGUGUACAAGGUAGCAGUUUCUUUCUUCUUAGUUUAUCUAUGUUUUUAACUAUUUAUUUGAAAGGCAGAAUUAUAAAGAGAGAAGGAGAACAGAGAGGUCUUCUAUCUGCUAGUUCACUCCCCAGAUGGCCACAGCAGCCAGGACUGGGCCAGGCUGAAGCCAGGAAUCUAGAGCUUCUUGGGCCUCCCACAUGGACGCAGGGGCCCAAGCACUUGGACCAUCCUCCACUACUUUUUCAGGGGCAUUAUCAGGGAGCUGGAUUGGAAAUGGAGCAGCCAGGUCUCGAACCGUAUGCAUAUGAGAUGCCAGCAUUGCAGGUGGCUGCUUUACUUGCUACACCACAGUGCCAACCCCAACAACAAAAAUCUUACAACUGUUCAUCAUAAAGGUUGAGGGAGAUAGGGGGCCAGCACCGUGGUGCAGCAGGUUAAGCCACCCCACAGCCCCAGCAUCCUACAUGGGCUCCGGUUCAAGUCCUGGCUGCUCCACUUCCAAUCCAGCUCCCUGCUGAUAACCUGGGAAAGCAGCAGAAGAUGGCCCAAGUGCUUGGGCUCCUGCACCCAUAUGUGGUAGACCCGGAAGAAGCUCCUGGCUCCUGGCUUCUGCUAUUUGGGAAAUGAACCAGUGAAUAGAAGAUAUCUCUCUCCCCUUCUCUGUCUCUCUGUAAUGUGCAUUUCAAAUAAAUAAAUAAGCCUUAAAAAGAAAAGAAAAUAGAACAACUUAUUUUACCAAAGACAAAGGAGCUAAUCUUCACAGACACUCAAAUGACUUAGAACGGUUUGUCAGGAGUCUCAGGCUACGUCACAUCAGCCGGGUGUCCGCUCGCUCUUAAAUAGUGCGUUCUCAGAGCGCCCUGCAUCCCGUCCCUCAGGUCAAGGCUGUUUGCCAGGCACAUUCGGGACUUCCCGUGUGUUGGAUCCUUGAACCGUUUGCCGCCCCGCACCCUUGCUUCUGCGUGUCUGUCUCUAGCCAGAAGGACUCGGUCGCCCGCUCAGGGCGAAUCAGACGGUGCAGUUGGUUGGCUUUCUUUGACCUGCUCUGCCGUGAGGGGCCCUCCUGGCAGCUGCCGUCCUCCCGUCCCCCGGCUUCAGCCCCUGCAGGAGUGAAUGUCCCAGGGGAGGUGGCCAGGGAGAGGAGGCGGCCCCUCUGUGUGCCAGCCUCUCCCUGCCAGCCUCUCCCUGCCGGGCAGCUGACGGAUCCAGGAGCUGCACGGCAGGGUGCAUGAGACACUGGCUGCUUCUGUGGUCAGACCCCGUGCCGCCCUCCCCUGCACACGUGAGCAGGGGUCCCGUGCAAACCGUGGCUCCUCCCCUGCUGGACGACUGUCCGUCUGCAACGACCAUCUUUCAUAUGACAUCAUUUCAGACUUAGGGGAAAACGUUUCUAACAGGGCCCGUAUUCUUUUCAGUACAGCACACUUCUAAAACAAUAACUUGUAUCUCCUGUGAAGUACCGUUAUGUGAGAGUAUAUUUAAAGUUUCACUCCCUUGGGAGAGAUUACAGACCAAAGCGUGAACGAUUUCUGCUCAUUCCUUAAGCUGACUCAGAGUGAGGCGAGGGCUGUCUGGCAGCUGUGUGCACCCUCUGUGGCAUUCAUGAGCGGCCCCUGGGCUCACCUCUGCCUGCCUCCUGUCCUCCCCCUGGGCUCACCUCUCUGCCUGCAUCUUGUCCUCCCCUGGGCUCACCUCUGCCUGCAUCCUGUCCUCCCCCGGGCUCACCUCUGUGCCUGCAUCCUGUCCUCCCCCUGGGCUCACCUGUGCCUGCAUCUCGUCCUCCCCCUGGGCUCACCUGUGCCUGCAUCCUGUCCUCCCCUGGGCUCACCUCUGUGCUUGCAUCUUGUCCUCCCCUGGGCUCGUCUCUGCCUGCAUCUUGUCCUCCCCCUGGGCUCACCUCUGUGCCUGCAUCUUGUCCUCCCCUGGGCUCACCUGUGCCUGC